rnacentral:rRNA from 1 species
CAGUCGCCACGGGAAUACGUAGGGUGCAAGCGUUAAUCGGAAUUACUGGGCGUAAAGCGUGCGCAGGCGGUUCGUUAAGACAGAUGUGAAAUCCCCGGGCUUAACCUGGGAACUGCAUUUGUGACUGGCGGGCUAGAGUAUGGCAGAGGGGGGUAGAAUUCCACGUGUAGCAGUGAAAUGCGUAGAGAUGUGGAGGAAUACCGAUGGCGAAGGCAGCCCCCUGGGCCAAUACCGACGCUCAUGCACGAAAGCGUGGGGAGCAAACAGGAUUAGAUACCCCCGUAGUCCCUGUCUCUUAUAU